GAACAUUGGGCAGAAAGGAGAUGUUUCCAUCCUCGAAAGCAUCUGGACAUGUGUUGUCUGGUGUUUUUGGAAAGCGAGAAACGAAUGUAAGUUCAAUAAUGGAAGUUGGUGCAAAGAUAAGAUCGUGACCGAGAUUAUUGCGAGAGUUUGGGGAUGGAAAAACGCUUACAAAAUUCGUUGCACUUCAUCCGAUUUCAGAUCGUGGUCCUCGGGAGAGCAGAUUCUUUCUUGAUCCCUUGUCUACUGUUUUUCUUCUUUUCUUGGCUUUGAGUUUUUUCGCAGGAACUGUUUCUUGUUGUCUGCUGCCUUUCUGUUUCUCUGUUGUUUCACUUUGUAGGCACUGCUGGU
rnacentral:lncRNA from 1 species